rnacentral:rRNA from 1 species
AGAGUUUGAUUCUGGCUCAGGAUGAACGCUAGCUACAGGCUUAACACAUGCAAGUCGAGGGGCAGCGAGAAGGAAGCUUGCUUCUUGUCGGCGACCGGCGCACGGGUGAGUAACGCGUAUCCAACCUUCCCCUUAGUAGGGCAUAGCCCGUAGAAAUGCGGAUUAAUACCCUAUGUUAUUCGUCGAGGACAUCUGAAGUGAAUCAAAGGUUUACCGCUAAGGGAUGGGGAUGCGUCUGAUUAGGCAGCAGGCGGGGUAACGGCCCACCUGGCCUACGAUCAGUAGGGGUUCUGAGAGGAAGGUCCCCCACAUUGGAACUGAGACACGGUCCAAACUCCUACGGGAGGCAGCAGUGAGGAAUAUUGGUCAAUGGGCGAGAGCCUGAACCAGCCAAGUAGCGUGCAGGAUGACGGCCCUAUGGGUUGUAAACUGCUUUUAUGCGGGGAUAAAGUGAGGGACGUGUCCCUUAUUGUAGGUACCGCAUGAAUAAGGACCGGCUAAUUCCGUGCCAGCAGCCGC